UAACACAUGCAAGUCGAACGAGACCUUCGGGUCUAGUGGCGCACGGGUGCGUAACGCGUGGGAAUCUGCCCUUGGGUUCGGAAUAACAGUGAGAAAUUACUGCUAAUACCGGAUGAUGUCUUCGGACCAAAGAUUUAUCGCCCAGGGAUGAGCCCGCGUAGGAUUAGCUAGUUGGUGGGGUAAUGGCCUACCAAGGCGACGAUCCUUAGCUGGUCUGAGAGGAUGAUCAGCCACACUGGGACUGAGACACGGCCCAGACUCCUACGGGAGGCAGCAGUGGGGAAUAUUGGACAAUGGGCGAAAGCCUGAUCCAGCAAUGCCGCGUGAGUGAUGAAGGCCUUAGGGUUGUAAAGCUCUUUUACCCGGGAUGAUAAUGACAGUACCGGGAGAAUAAGCUCCGGCUAACUCCGUGCCAGCAGCCGCGGUAAUACGGAGGGAGCUAGCGUUGUUCGGAAUUACUGGGCGUAAAGCGCGCGUAGGCGGCUGCUCAAGUCAGAGGUGAAAGCCCGGGGCUCAACCCCGGAACUGCCUUUGAAACUAGGUAGCUAGAAUCUUGGAGAGGUCAGUGGAAUUCCGAGUGUAGAGGUGAAAUUCGUAGAUAUUCGGAAGAACACCAGUGGCGAAGGCGACUGACUGGACAAGUAUUGACGCUGAGGUGCGAAAGCGUGGGGAGCAAAC
rnacentral:rRNA from 1 species